rnacentral:tRNA from 1 species
GGUAGCGUGGCCGAGCGGUCUAAGGCGCUGGUUUUAGACACCAGUCAUUUCGAUGGCGUGGGUUCGAAUCCCACCGCUGCCA